rnacentral:lncRNA from 12 species
GAUUGCACCCUCUAAUUUACUUAUGCUUUCCCAUGACUGGCACCUCUCAAAGUCAUGGAUCCAAACUUCUCCUCGCUGCUCUGUCUUCUUCCCUUGCCUCCCUCCUCAUCCCCCCUUUGCCUAACUCACCCCAGUUACUCUUCUUUUUUCCCCACAUGGAGAUGAAGGCAGGUGGAUGUGUGUGUAGGUGGUUGAGAAAUUAAAUUGGAGUGGAAUGGACUGAAAUGAAUUGGAAGCCAGGAAAAAAGUCCUCCACCCACUCCAACAGAAAUAGCCCCCAAGGAAGGAGAUAGGAUUGAGGGGAACCCCAAGUAGAAGCCUAUCCCUUUGAUCUUCAUAUUCUUUUCUCAGCUGGACUUUCCACUGUUAAUGACUUCUCCCUUAAAAAAGGAAGUGGGGAGGAGAUGACAUCAAUGUGUACUUCCGCUCGAUCCAGGAGCUGGAGAGAAGAGGCUCAGCUCUGGGUUCAAGACAUGCCUGCCAAAGCACCACAUCAUAUCACCUAACCGAAGGCCCCUCCUUCUGCUUGUUUGUUGAAAUAACAGAUGGCAUCCUGAUCUAUGCCCUACCUGGACAAUGGAUAUGGGUCAUGGGUCUUAUGGAAGUACUUGAAACCCCCUGGCUGGAGACACUGGAUGAUGUUGACUCAACCCCAAUCCUAUACCUAAGAAGUGACAAACCCGAGGCUUGGCUGAGACUGCAAGGAAGAAUGCCAAAAGACUUUUCCAGAAAUAGUACAGUGACCAUGUCACUUUCAGUUCAACAAGUCUCUCCUUCCCUACACAGCCAAGUUUAGAAUGAUCUUAAAGGUAUUUGAGCUAUUUGUUUUCUGUUCCUUCUCUUCCCUUUAAACAAUAGAUCUAAAACACAUGGAGAAUAACAAAACCAAGAACUGGUUCUUUGAAAAGAUCAACAAAGGAGACAGAUGUUUAGCUAGGUUGACUAAGAAAAACAAGAGUGAAACUAAAAUAGCUAAAAUCAGAAAUGGAAGAGAGUCAUGACUACUGAUUAUAUAGAAAUUUAAAAAGAUCAUUAGAGAGUAUUAUAACCAGUCGCAUGUCAAGAAAUUGGAUAACCCAGAUAAAGUGGACACAUUCCUAGAAACACACAGUCUACCAAGACUCAAUCAUGAAGAAAUUGAAAAUCUGUGCAGACCUAUAACUAAUAAGGAGAUUUAAUUAGUAAUCAAAGACCUCACCAUAAAGAAAAGUCCAGGACCAGAUGGUUUUAUUGGCAAAUUCUACUAAGCAUUUAAAGAAUUAAAAAAAAUGAAUAAAAAUAAAAAAAUAAAAAGAAAGAAAGAAAGA